rnacentral:tRNA from 1 species
GGAGCAGUAGCUCAGUGGUAGGGCUCCUUCUUCGUAUGCGGCAACACCUGGGUUAGAUUCCCAGCUGCUUCC